rnacentral:ncRNA from 2 species
GUGUACCUUCAGGGACGGGUGAAAUUCCAUACCGGCGGUAAGAAAUAAAUUUUUUUCAAGCCCGCGAGCCCGGCACUCACAAACGUCAAUAAACGGCAAAAUAUGAGUAUGUCAUUUUUUGAAGAGCGGUAACUUUAAGCUAUUACGGUAUAGUGAGAGCCAGGCUGAUCUGGUGCAAAGCCAGGGCCGACAGUUAAAGUCUGGAAGGAAGAAGGUUGUA